rnacentral:lncRNA from 1 species
UUCAGACAUGUUUCAACCUACUAUUUACACGAAAUUUAAUUUGUAUAUUUAAGAUUUGCUCCAUAGAGAAUCUGUUUCAGUUCUUUCCUUUCCCACAGGACUCUUAAUUGCUCUAUCACCUCCAUGUGGUGCUUCUCCAGCCAUGACUCAACGACUUUAAAUGACUGUAUUUAUUUUAAGAGAAACUUUAGUGCCUAUAAAAACAGCAUGUUCUCCUGCAGCACAUCUGUUCUCUCUCUGAGUUUUAUAUCAUCACUUUGCCAGAGGUUUUACUUGAUAGUUCAAGGGAGCUUGGUGUGCUCUGAUUCAACUGGAUUCUUAUUGGCAGGACUUGUCUAAAUUCUGAGUGAUGAAGACUUUAUGGUGCCAAAAUAUUCAUUUGAUGAGAAGUCAAUUGGGGGUCAGUUUAUUGAUUGGUUAAGGUACCCCUUUAUUCAUCCAUGUUCAACCACUUUUUAAUGAGUUAUGUGACAUGUUUUAGGGCACAGGAGUUACUCUACAGCUUUCACGCCAUUCUAGGGCACAGAGAUCUUUGUGAAGUUAUCUUUAGUCCUGUAGGCCGCGUUUCAUUGCAUGGCCAGUUUCUCUGGAGAGUAGUGUAGCCUCCACUUGGCUGUAAUUGGUAAAUGAGGCAAAAUUUCCUACUGAUAUUGAAAACUUCUAUUCUAAUUUGGGAAGUGUUUUCCCCCCACAGCCCACAGGGCCUUGACCUACUCUUCUACUGUACAUGAUUUAAAAAAAAAAAACAGGAAAAAAGGAAACCACUGUUUUCAAGUAUUAGACAGCAGAACAGGACUGUUAUCUCCAAGAGAAGGGAAACAAACAAGCUCAGCCAAACAAUCACCCCAAAUGUUAAACUAUUAUUCCUGAUUUAAAAUGAACUGGUUAGCUUUUUAACCUUCAGUUUCUUUACUUGUGAAAUAGGGAUAAUAUUAGUGCCUAC